rnacentral:rRNA from 1 species
CCAUACGACCGUACCGCAAACCGACACUGGUGCGCGAGAUGAGUAUUCUAAGGCGCUUGAGAGAACUCAGGAGAAGGAACUCGGCAAAUUGACACCGUAACUUCGGAAGAAGGUGUGCCCUAUUAGUGUGUAGUGAACAACGAAGCAUGAAUGGGUUGCAAAAAAUCGGUGGCUGCGACUGUUUAUUAAAAACACAGCACUCUGCAAACACGAAAGUGGACGUAUAGGGUGUGACGCCUGCCCGGUGCUGGAAGAUUAAAUGAUGGGGUGCAAGCUCUUGAUUGAAGUCCCAGUAAACGGCGGCCGUAACUAUAACGGUCCUAAGGUAGCGAAAUUCCUUGUCGGGUGAGUUCCGACCUGCACGAAUGGCGUAACGAUGGCCACACUGUCUCCUCCUGAGACUCAGCGAAGUUGAAAUGUUUGUGAUGAUGCAAUCUCCCCGCGGAAAGACGGAAAGACCCCAUGAACCUUUACUGUAGCUUUGUAUUGGACUUUGAACAGAUCUGUGUAGGAUAGGUGGGAGGCUUUGAAGCAGGGUCGCUAGAUCUUGUGGAGCCAACGUUGAAAUACCACCCUGGUGUGUUUGAGGUUCUAACCUAGGUCCAUUAUCUGGAUCGGGGACAGUGCAUGGUAGGCAGUUUGACUGGGGCGGUCUCCUCCCAAAGCGUAACGGAGGAGUUCGAAGGUACGCUAGUUACGGUCGGACAUCGUGACGAUAGUGCAAUGGCAUAAGCGUGCUUAACUGCGAGACUGACAAGUCGAGCAGAUGCGAAAGCAGGACAUAGUGAUCCGGUGGUUCUGUAUGGAAGGGCCAUCGCUCAACGGAUAAAAGGUACUCUGGGGAUAACAGGCUGAUACCGCCCAAGAGUUCAUAUCGACGGCGGUGUUUGGCACCUCGAUGUCGGCUCAUCUCAUCCUGGGGCUGUAGCCGGUCCCAAGGGUAUGGCUGUUCGCCAUUUAAAGAGGUACGUGAGCUGGGUUUAAAACGUCGUGAGACAGUUUGGUCCCUAUCUUCCGUGGGCGCUGCAGAUUUGAGGAAGCCUGCUCCUAGUACGAGAGGACCGGAGUGGACACACCUCUGGUGUAUCGGUUGUCACGCCAGUGGCAGUGCCGAGUAGCUAAGUGUGGAAGAGAUAACCGCUGAAAGCAUCUAAGCGGGAAACUCGUUUCAAGAUGAGAUCUGCCGGGGCCUUGAGCCCCCUAAAGAGUCGUUCAAGACCAGGACGUUGAUAGGUCAGGUGUGGAAGUG